AUUGAACGCUGGCGGCAUGCCUUACACAUGCAAGUCGAACGGUAACAGGUCUUCGGAUGCUGACGAGUGGCGAACGGGUGAGUAAUACAUCGGAACGUGCCUAGUAGUGGGGGAUAACUACUCGAAAGAGUGGCUAAUACCGCAUGAGAGCUACGGAUGAAAGCAGGGGAUCGCAAGACCUUGUGCUACUAGAGCGGCCGAUGGCAGAUUAGGUAGUUGGUGGGAUAAAAGCUUACCAAGCCGACGAUCUGUAGCUGGUCUGAGAGGACGAUCAGCCACACUGGGACUGAGACACGGCCCAGACUCCUACGGGAGGCAGCAGUGGGGAAUUUUGGACAAUGGGCGCAAGCCUGAUCCAGCAAUGCCGCGUGCAGGAUGAAGGCCUUCGGGUUGUAAACUGCUUUUGUACGGAACGAAAAGCCCUGGGUUAAUACCCUGGGGUCAUGACGGUACUGUAAGAAUAAGCACCGGCUAACUACGUGCCAGCCGCCGCCGUAAAAC
rnacentral:rRNA from 1 species